GGUGAAUCUUGUGCGAAGCAGUCAGUGCGUGGGGCAGAGAAAAAAGCUUGAAUAUCGAUAUUUUUACACGAGUAUUGCUCAAUACCAAUACCAGCGUUGGUAUCGAUAUUAUCGAUAUUUGGAUCGAUCCGCCCACCUCUAGCAUGCGGUGUUGUGAUGAGGGUGGUCAGGUAAAGAAGCUGCUAGAAUUGAUUGUGUAUAAGGGCGUUUUCAUACCAACGCUAUUUUGUCCGGUUAAAUCGGGCUCUGGUUUGUUUGUACCCUAAAUAUACUCAUUUUAUUUGAGCUAAACUGCUGAUGAGGCGCAGUUUAGUCUGAUAUAUUAGCCAGAUAACACUAAUUACCCCAGCUAUGAACAAACGCGGUCCCUGUCCAUGCUGUUUUUUUUAUGUGCGGUCUGUGCGUUCACUACUCACAAUGGCGCUACUCAUCACGCCCUGCUCACACCUGCUGGAGGACAAUUAUCCAGACACUGAGUUUAACAACAGACAAGCCUUCAAAUAAAGAGGUUGCCUGCUAUUGGAACAGCCGUUCAAAGAGCCUCUCCUCUGCCCUCACUGAAAGUUACUUUAUGAGCUAAAGAGAGCUUUGUUACUCCUCAACAUCAAUUACUGUAAUGAGGUUCCAUUCAAGCACCACUAGUCUCUCACUGUUCUGAAGAAGUUCACACCUGUCGUACUUUGAUGGAUGCUCCUCUCUCCGGGUUUACCCCUUCCUCAUCCCACAUUCUACAAUCAACCAACCGCAGCCCUGGAAUGGCAAGCGUGCAUAUAGAAAAGCAUGUUUGCAAGCAGGAAGUAAGCCAUAUAAGCCCCGCCCUUUUGGCUCUAUGCCAAACAUUGACAAUUGAGAGUGUUUGAUGUUCGCCGCUGCUUCUUUGUGUUGGCAAAGUCGUGGAGGCGCAGUCAGACAGGAGGGUGGGAGGGAGAGAGGGAUGGGUUUCAGAAUGCACGAGUGUGUGUGUGUG
rnacentral:lncRNA from 1 species